GAUGAACGCUAGCGGCAGGCUUAAUACAUGCAAGUCGUGGGGCAGCAUGAGUGUAGCAAUACAUUUGAUGGCGACCGGCAAACGGGUGCGGAACACGUACACAACCUUCCUACAAGUGGGGAAUAGCCCAGAGAAAUUUGGAUUAAUACCCCGUAACAUAGCGAUGUGGCAUCACAUUGCUAUUAUAGCUUCGGCGCUUGUUGAUGGGUGUGCGGCUGAUUAGAUAGUUGGCGGGGUAACGGCCCACCAAGUCUACGAUCAGUAGCUGAUGUGAGAGCAUGAUCAGCCACACGGGCACUGAGACACGGGCCCGACUCCUACGGGAGGCAGCAGUAAGGAAUAUUGGACAAUGGACGCAAGUCUGAUCCAGCCAUGCCGCGUGAAGGAUUAAGGUCCUCUGGAUUGUAAACUUCUUUUAUAAGGGACGAAAAAAGGUCUUUCUAGAUCGUCUGACGGUACCUUAUGAAUAAGCACCGGCUAACUCCGUGCCAGCCGCCGCGGUAACAC
rnacentral:rRNA from 1 species